GUCGUAUUAAUGGAAAAUAAUCUAUUAUUGUAUUGCCUUGGCAGUGUGAGGGGACUUUAGGACUAAUCUUCCACAAGUGGGAAAAUGCCACAGUUUUGUAGAUCUUGCAGGUAAUUUUGUUGUUCAGAACCUUGGAGAGCUCUGAAAAUAGCGGAUGUCGCUAGCGAUAAGAUUACCAAGGGUAAUAGGGAAAAAUCAAAGACAAUGUUGUUAAAUAAGGACGACUGCUUGGAUAUUUAAUGUGGUGAAUGUGAAGCUGCUAAAAACAGGAAGGACAUUCCAAGUGCAGUGACAUUCAUAUGAUAAUACGAACCAUAUUUCAACAUACUAUAUCUGUCAAAUAUAACGCUAUACAUCGCCAUACUAUAUAUGAAUAUAAUCCAGAUAUUCAAUUGAUUAAGGAAUAAGCCUAUGGGAUUCUCAUGAAGGUGGAAUAGCAGGAAAACUCCUCGUAGAUCAUUAUGGAUUCAAUGACAAUAAGAUAACAUCUGAUGCUGACCUCCACCCAAGCUGUUUUCCACAUGAUCCCACACUGCUGAGAGUACGUGGUUAUUGAUAUAUGAAUUCUCUGUUGUCUGUAACUGAGCCCAUCCUCCAGCUGCAGCCACUUAUGAUGUCAUUUACUCGGUACUCUAUCCGUUUCUUGGUCACAGAUCAGCCUGACACGCUUACCUCGACUGCAGUAUGCUUCCUUCCCCGGCCCGAGAGUUCCUAUCUGCUAGCCGCUGUGACAGAUCCAUGGGUGGACUAUGGUCAACGUACACUUAUGAGGACCUAAAGGGUUGCAAAUGUUUUGUGACUAUCAUCCACAUCUUUAAGACAAAGGCUGAACACUCAGGUAAGAGAGAAGAGCCAGAGAUCCACUGCGGAUCCCCAACUGAAGCCUCUUCCUCAACUUCCGUGAAAGUACGGAUAGGAUAUUUGGGAUUGGGGCUGAUUUUUUUUACAUUUUAUGUUGGUUUGAUUUACUCUCGUUUGCAAUUUCCCAUGGCAGUGGCUUGAUGGAAGGAAUGAAAUAAAAUGUUAGCAGGUGUUGGGAUGAAACUUAAACAGUCUGCUUCCUUUCAAAACACCUCCAAAAUAAAACACACGGUUAAGUGAAGAGUUUUCUGGCAACUCUCUGUCUGGCAAUUGAAGUCAUGCCUUUGUAAAUGACUUAUUAGCUAAAUGUUUACAAACAGAAGCACUUUAUUA
rnacentral:lncRNA from 13 species